CUGUGUUGGUGUUCUGUACUCAGGUGAAUAAUAUGUUUGCGAUGUUACUCUGAGUGCAUAUCCACACCGGGCGAGCUUGAAAAAUAUGCCCGGCCACGGUGGGAUUCGAACCUACGACCUUUGGAAUACUAGCCCAAUGCUCUUCCAACUGAGCUACGUGGUCAGGACGGUUCGAGUAAGUGAUAUUUCGGAACAGUAUCUAGUUCCUUCAAUACCAAUGUGUUCUUGUAAUAUGAAUUUAUUUUUUUUUCUGUGCUGGUGUUGUGUACUCAGGUGAAUAAUAUGUUUGUGAUGUUACUCUGAGUGCAUAUCCACACCGGGCGAGCUUGAAAAAUAUGCCCGGCCACGGUGGGAUUCGAACCUACGACCUUUGGAAUACUAGCCCAAUGCUCUUCCAACUGAGCUACGCGGUCAG